AACACCUCAACACUCUCGAUUUGUUUCGAAUGAGUGUUGGAUUUGAGCAAACCCAACGCCUUUCUGCUAGUCAGACUUGCGGCGGGUUGCUUGAAAUGCAGGUGCAGCUGAGUUUUCUUCUGAGCUAAUAGCAUACUUAAUUAGUCCCGUAAAAAGGAUUAUUAAUCUGCUGAAGCUUACACCAAAGGAAGAGCUCUUGGCUGACUGAUGCAGAAUUACGCUUAGCUGGCAACAGCUUUGUAAAAC
rnacentral:misc_RNA from 1 species